rnacentral:rRNA from 1 species
AAAAAAUUAGAGUGUUCAAAGCAGGCAGAUCCAAUUUUCUGCCACCGAAUACAUUAGCAUGGGAUAAUGGAAUAGGACCCUGUCCUCCUAUUUUCAGUUGGUUUUGGCAGCGCGAGGACUAGGGUAAUGAUUAAUAGGGAUAGUUGGGGGCAUUAAUAUUUAAUUGUCAGAGGUGAAAUUCUUGGAUUUAUGAAAGAUUAACUUCUGCGAAAGCAUCUGCCAAGGAUGUUUUCAUUAACCAAGAACGAAAGUUAGGGGAUCGAAGACGAUCAGAUACCGUCGUAGUCUUAACCAUAAACGAUGCCGACCAGCGAUUAGGUGACGUUGAAUACAAAACACCACCAUCGGCGCGGUCGUCCUUGGCGUCUCGGUCCUUCACGGGGCCGGGGCGCGGGGGCGGCUUAGCCCGGUGGCACCGGUGAAUG